AGCGAACGCUGGCGGCAGGCCUAACACAUGCAAGUCGAACGAACCUUUCGGGGUUAGUGGCGGACGGGUGAGUAACACGUGGGAACGUGCCUUUAGGUUCGGAAUAACUCAGGGAAACUUGUGCUAAUACCGAAUGUGCCCUUCGGGGGAAAGAUUAAUCGCCUUUAGAGCGGCCCGCGUCUGAUUAGCUAGUUGGUUGAGGUAAUGGCUCACCAAGGCGACGACCAGUAGCUGGUCUGAGAGGAUGAUCAGCCACAUUGGGACUGAGACACGGCCCAAACUCCUACGGGAGGCAGCAGUGGGGAAUCUUGCGCAAUGGGCGAAAGCCUGACGCAGCCAUGCCGCGUGAAUGAUGAAGGUCUUAGGAUUGUAAAAUUCUUUCACCGGGGACGAUAAUGACGGUACCCGGAGAAGAAGCCCCGGCUAACUUCGUG
rnacentral:rRNA from 1 species